rnacentral:rRNA from 1 species
CCUACGGGAGGCAGCAGUGGGGAAUAUUGCGCAAUGGGCGAAAGCCUGACGCAGCGACGCCGCGUGAGGGAUGAAGGAGUGCUUCGGCAUGUAAAGCCCUAUCGGCAGGGAAGAAGCAAGACGGUACCUGACUACGAAUCCCCGGCUAAUUACGUGCCAGCAGCCGCGGUCAUACGUAGGGGGCGCGCGUUAUCCGGAUGCACUGGGUGUAAAGGGAGCGUAGCCGGCCAAGCAAGCCAGGGGUGAAAGCCCGGGGCCCAACCCGGGGACUGCACUGGGAACUGCAUGGCUGGAGUGCGGGAGGGGAAGGCGGAAUUCCUGGUGUAGCGGUGAAAUGCGUAGAUAUCAGGAGGAACACCAGCGGCGAAGGCGGCCUGCUGGACCGCGACUGACGUUGAGGCUCGAAAGCGUGGGGAGCGAACAGGAUUAGAUACCCCUGUAGUC